rnacentral:rRNA from 1 species
GACGAACGCUGGCGGCGUGCCUAAUACAUGCAAGUAGAACGCUGAAGGAGGAGCUUGCUUCUCUGGAUGAGUUGCGAACGGGUGAGUAACGCGUAGGUAACCUGCCUGGUAGCGGGGGAUAACUAUUGGAAACGAUAGCUAAUACCGCAUAAUAGUAGAUGUUGCAUGACAUUUGCUUAAAAGGUGCAAUUGCAUCACUACCAGAUGGACCUGCGUUGUAUUAGCUAGUUGGUGAGGUAACGGCUCACCAAGGCGACGAUACAUAGCCGACCUGAGAGGGUGAUCGGCCACACUGGGACUGAGACACGGCCCAGACUCCUACGGGAGGCAGCAGUAGGGAAUCUUCGGCAAUGGACGGAAGUCUGACCGAGCAACGCCGCGUGAGUGAAGAAGGUUUUCGGAUCGUAAAGCUCUGUUGUAAGAGAAGAACGAGUGUGAGAGUGGAAAGUUCACACUGUGACGGUAUCUUACCAGAAAGGGACGGCUAACUAC